GAUGAAGAACGCAGCGAAAUGCGAUACUUGGGGUGAAUUGCAGAAUCCCGUGAACCAUCGAGUCUUUGAACGCAAGUUGCGCCCGAAGCCAUUAGGCCGAGGGCACGCCUGCCUGGGCGUCACACGUCGUUGCCCCCCCAUCUACUCCUUCGGGAUUGCGGGGGGCGGAUGAUGGCCUCCCGUGCGCCACGCCGCGCGGUUGGCAUAAAUGCCAAGUCCUCGGCGACGCACGCCACGACAAUCGGUGGUUGCGAAACCUCGGUUGCCCGUCGUGUGCGGUCGUCGCGCAUCGAGGGCUCGAAAAAAUUGCCGGGUUCCGGCUCGGCUUUCAACGCGACCCCAGGUCAGGCGGGGUUACCCGCUGAAUUUAAGCAUAUCAAUAAGCGGAGGA
rnacentral:misc_RNA from 1 species